rnacentral:rRNA from 1 species
UACAGAGGUCCCAAGCGUUGUUCGGAUUCACUGGGCGUAAAGGGUGCGUAGGCGGUCGGGUAAGUCUGAUGUGAAAUCUCACAGCUUAACUGUGAAACUGCAUUGGAUACUAUCCGGCUAGAGGAAUGGAGGGGAGACUGGAAUACUUGGUGUAGCAGUGAAAUGCGUAGAUAUCAAGUGGAACACCAGUGGCGAAGGCGAGUCUCUGGACAUUUCCUGACGCUGAGGCACGAAGGUCAGGGGAGCAAACGGG